ACGCGCGUAGCUCAGGGGUUAGAGCAUUAGGUUGUGGUCCUAAGGGUCGUGGGUUCAAAUCCCAUCGCGCGUC
rnacentral:tRNA from 1 species